CGACAUUUAACAAAACAAUGACAUUUUAUAGUAAAUGACAAAAAAAUGAUAUUUAUACUGAAUGUGACAAAAACAAUAGCAUUUUAUACUAAAUGUCGUAAAACCAAUGGCAUUCUAUUCUAAAUGUCGUAAAACAACAUUAUUUGAUGCGUAAUAUCAAAUUUUUGUAUAUUUUGUAUUUAAUAAUAUCAAUUUAUUACUCGAUAUAUCGGUAUUUGCAAUGAUGGUUUAUCACUAUCCAAUUUCUGGAGUCAUGAUAGCAUCUACUAUAAUCCACCAGUAGGUAAGCCAAACUGUAUCUCGAAACAAAAAAGAAACGGAUUAACCGGCGGAAGACAUGAAAAUAAAAACUAAAGGCAUUCAAACAAGUUUUUAUAGGCAUUCAAACAAAAGACGAA
rnacentral:lncRNA from 1 species